rnacentral:rRNA from 1 species
GCGCAUUCCACCGCUACACCAGGAAUUCCAGUCUCCCCUGCAGUACUCAAGUCUGCCCGUAUCGCCCGCACGCCCACAGUUAAGCUGUGAGUUUUCACGAACAACGCGACAAACCACCUACGAGCUCUUUACGCCCAGUAAUUCCGGACAACGCUCGGACCCUACGUAUUACCGCGGCUGCUGGCACGUAGUUGGCCGGUCCUUCUUCUGCACAUACCGUCACUUGCGCUUCGCCUGUGCUGAAAGAGGUUUACAACCCGAAGGCCGUCAUCCCUCACGCGGCGUCGCUGCAUCAGGCUUGCGCCCAUUGUGCAAUAUUCCCCACUGCUGCCUCCCGUAGGAGUCUGGGCCGUAUCUCAGUCCCAGUGUGGCCGGUCACCCUCUCAGGCCGGCUACCCGUCGUCGCCUUGGUAGGCCAUUACCCCACCAACAAGCUGAUAGGCCGCGGGCCCAUCCCACACCGCAAAAGCUUUCCACCACACACCAGGAAGUGCAUGGUCAUAUUCGG